UAAAUUUUUAUUAGCUUUUAAGCAAAUACACUUUUACUCUAUUCUGAUCACUCCCUUUAACAGAACUAAUAUGUAUGUAUGAAGCACAGCAAAGAAAGGAGAGGGAACACAUGCAAAAUUAUUUUGGGCAUCUGUUUUCCAUAUGAUUAACUCAAGACAUAUGUGCAUAUAUGUAUAGGUGUGUGUAUUUUCUAUUUGUAUACAUACAUUAUAUGCGUGUAUAUUUAUGAAUAUAGAUGUGAUGAUUUCUGUCUCUGUCUACAACUAAAUCAUUAAGAAUUUUCCAAUUAAAUGCCAAAGACUGGUGCAGUAUGACUGAAUAGUCACUCCAGUAUUUGAAAGAUAAAGAAAAUAAAAGAUUGUUUUUCCAUUCACUUCUUCAUGCUCAGCAGAAGGGGAAUUAUUUUUUGAUCAGUAAUUUCAAUUCAAAUUAAUAAUGUAUUAUACCCUUGAUAAUAAAAGAAUAAGAUUUUCUCAGGAAAUAAUCAAGUUCAAGUAUUAUCCCCUUGGUCAUUGUUCACAAUGAUGUUUUCCUUUUGACCUUCCUCCCUAAUUCCCCAUGCUUGUUCUUUGUCUAAACAAGAGGAAGAGGGGUAUCUGCUUUAGUGAUUGAGGGGAAGUGAAAUGAUACAGUUCAUGCUUCUGGCAAUGGCUGUUUUCGUAUCACUCUAGAUUGCCUCAGGUUCCUGUGAAGAAAUACACAUUCUCUUUGCCAUCUUCUGGGUGAGUAGCAAGCCAGUCCAAGCACAGUUACAGAUUACUCUCUACUCUGAACUCAUCAAAAAUCUUGAAAUCAGUGACAGCUAACUGAGAUGACAUAGGCAGUUUCUAUGAUGGUACACAAUGGCAGUGUCUCUCUCUCUCUCUCUCUCUCUCUGAGUUUUUCAUUGCUUAUUUAGAGUAAGUCAAGUGCCCCCUUGCCUGGAAAGCUUGCAGAAAAGUCCCUAUGACAAGAAACUGAAAAAGGCAUCAAAAUCGAACAACCAAUGAGAAGUGUAAGGCCUCCAAAGACUCCCCUCAUUACACCUAACCAAGAAGAACAGAGCCUACAUGAAAAAAUUGCUUCUAAGUAUACUGGAGGGAAACAAGGCUGCCUGGAACUAUCUUAGGUGAACUUCUUGACGUCAUCAUACAAGAAAGCACAAAAUCAUCAUUUCUGAGGCCCUUGGGCCAUGAACUUUUGAUGCUUUGCUUCCUUCAUCAUGAACAAUCUUCCAAUAGAGGUCAAGCACGCCUGUGUACAUGACAUCAGUUCCUUUACAUCCUGACUGAGGUGGCCAACAGUGUCUAAUGGAUAAGAAGUCAACACAGCCAUGGCAGUGAUGUGCUGUGUGAUCAUCUAAUUGGUGAAGAUGUGAGUAUUCUUGCACUCUGAAAGCAUUUGCCUCACAGUAUCAUGUACACCAAAGCAGGCAGCCUGGUGGAAGAUAACUCCAAGCACAGAUACAUUAAAAGCUUGGCAUAGUUUGGCAUAGGCCUUUAAUCCCAUCAGAUUUGCAGAACUUAACCAGGCAAUCACUGAGGCCUGCAAAUUCCCUUUCACUUCUGGCUUUACCCAUGUCAGCUGCUAGACAGUCAUAGGCAAAACAAGAGGGUGCACAAAAAACAGGAUAU
rnacentral:lncRNA from 1 species